UAGUCAUAUGCUUGUCUCAAAGAUUAAGCCAUGCAUGUCUAAGUACAAGCCUCACUAAGGUGAAACCGCGAAUGGCUCAUUAAAUCACACCUAAUCUACUGGAUAGUAGUCAGUUACUUGGAUACCUGCGGUAAUUCUGCAGCUAAUACAUGCACACAAGCCUCGACUUCGGAAGAGGCGCUUUUAUUAGAUCAAAACCGAUCGGCUUCGGCCGUCCCUUUGGUGAAUCUGAAUAACUUUGAGCUGAUCGCAUGGCCUCGCGCCGGCGACAUAUCCUUCGAAGGUGUGCCCUAUCAUCUGUCGACUGUGGCAUAGACGCCCACAGUGGAUUUGACGGGUCACGGGG
rnacentral:rRNA from 1 species